GUUCGUCCAUCCAAACUCCUUUCCCUUCUUCUCCCCUUUUAUUAAGUACUCUACUGUCAUCAAGGGUUAGCAAUGAUCUCAGAUGCUCUAAGAAAUCUUUGGAGACAUUCUCAAGCUUCAGAGACCUUCCUCUCACUAAUUUCUCAUGAGAGUAACAGUCAGGACAAAUCACUUGGCAUUUAGCACCUUAUCUCGUGAUGUAUUCUUAUAGUACCAACUUGGUUUACCAAACUUUGAGACAACUUAUGAAAAGGACUCCUUUGGAUUAAAAUUUAAAUCACAACCCUUAAGUACAGUACAUGGGUACCAGUUUCCGAAAGAUGAUAAACAGAAGAAUACUACAGAAAGAUUUAUCACCCACAAGCAUCGUGAAUGCACCUGGGAUUCAAAACUAAUUUUGACAAAAGCCCCAUGGCCUGUUAGAUCUGCUUCAUAUACAAGACAUAGAAGGCAGCGUGAUGCCUACAGUGCAUUUAUGGAUCAUGUGGAAGAAAAGUUUACAAAGAUAUGCAAGAGCAGCUCUGGGAUCUGGGGAAGAGAACGUUGUCUGUUGUUCCUCUCUUUCUACACCUGUCUCAAUCAUACUCCAUUGCUUCUUGGUCUGCCUUUUAUCUCCAAGGUGUUGGUGUCCAGAGGAGAAAUGGAAGAAAGAGGGGCAAAAAGCUCAGAUAGCUGAUGGACCAAAACAGCAUAGGGCUUCCUGAACUCUGGCCUGAAUGUUCACCUCCCGUGCAUUUCCCAGUGAGAACAUUGAUGAAUUCUGGCACCUUCCUGGAUUCUACAGAAAUCUGCACUCUCCCAGAGGCAUGAGAAAGUGCUAAAACAACAAACAAAAGUUGCAUAAUUUGAAAUUCCCUUGUUACCACAUGGAUCAGAAUCCAAUC